UACGUAGGGUGCGAGCGUUAAUCGGAAUUACUGGGCGUAAAGCGUGCGCAGGCGAUGAUGUAAGACCGAUGUGAAAUCCCCGGGCUUAACCUGGGAACUGCAUUGGUGACUGCAUUGCUGGAGUAUGGCAGAGGGGGGUGGAAUUCCACGUGUAGCAGUGAAAUGCGUAGAGAUGUGGAGGAACACCGAUGGCGAAGGCAGCCCCCUGGGCCAAUACUGACGCUCAUGCACGAAAGCGUGGGGAGCAAACAGG
rnacentral:rRNA from 1 species